GAUAAACGCUGGCGGCGUGCCUAACACAUGCAAGUCGAACGAUCCCGCAAGGGAGAGUGGCGGAAGGGUGAGUAACACGUGGGAAUCUACCUCCUCGCAGGGAACAACCUCUCGAAAGAGAGGCUAAUACCCAAAAGGGUCAGAAAUGAUCAGAGUCGAAAGGCGUGAGGAGAGGAGCCCGCGGCCCAUCAGCUAGUUGGUGAGGUAAUGGCUUACCAAGGCUACGACGGGUAGGGGAUCUGAGAGGAUGUCCCCCACACUGGAACUGAAACACGGUCCAGGCGCCUACGGGGUGGCAGCAGUGAGGAAUAUUGGACAAUGGGCGAAAGCCCGAUCCAGCAACGCCGCGUGGAGGAUGAAGGCCUUCGGGGUCGUAAACUUCUUUAGUAGGGAGACGAGAAAAGGACCGGGUAUCCCUAGAAUAAGCGACGGC
rnacentral:rRNA from 1 species